rnacentral:rRNA from 1 species
GACGAACGCUGGCGGCGUGCUUAACACAUGCAAGUCGAACGGUGAAGCUCCAGCUUGCUGGAGUGGAUCAGUGGCGAACGGGUGAGUAACACGUGAGCAACCUGCCCCUGACUCUGGAAUAAGCGCUGGAAACGGCGUCUAAUACUGGAUACGAGAAGGGUCCGCAUGGGCACUUUCUGAAAAGUUUUUCGGUUGGGGAUGGGCUCGCGGCCUAUCAGCUUGUUGGUGAGGUAAUGGCUCACCAAGGCGACGCCGGGUAGCCGGCCUGAGAGGGCGACCGGCCACACUGGGACUGAGACACGGCCCAGACUCCUACGGGAGGCAGCAGUGGGGAAUAUUGCACAAUGGGCGGAAGCCUGAUGCAGCGACGCCGCGUGAGGGAUGACGGCCUUCGGGUUGUAAACCUCUUUCAGCAGGGAAGAAGCGAAAGUGACGGUACCUGCAGAAGAAGCACCGGCUAACUACGUG